CUGGUGCCAGCAGCCGCGGUAAUUCCAGCUCCAAUAGCGUAUAUUAAAGUUGCUGCAGUUAAAAGCUCGUAGUUGAAUUUCGGGACCAAUAUGUCGGUCGUGCUUCGGUACGUACUGUCAUUUAUCGGUUUCUCCCUUCUGAAGAACCUUGAUGUCAUUAAUUUGGUGUCUUGGGGAAUCAGGACUGUUACUUUGAAAAAAUUAGAGUGUUUAAAGCAGGCUCGCGCUUGAAUACAUUAGCAUGGAAUAAUGAAAUAGGACGUUUGAUUCUAUUUUGUUGGUUUCUAGGGAUCGACGUAAUGAUUAAUAGGGAUAGUUGGGGGCAUUAGUAUUCAAUUGUCAGAGGUGAAAUUCUUAGAUUUAUUGAAGACUAACUACUGCGAAAGCAUUUGCCAAGGAUGUUUUCAUUAAUCAAGAACGAAAGUUAGGGGAUCGAAGACGAUCAGAUACCGUCGUAGUCUUAACCAUAAACUAUGCCGACUAGGGAUCGGAUGAUGUUAAUUUUUAAUGACUCAUUCGGCGCCUUACG
rnacentral:rRNA from 1 species